rnacentral:rRNA from 1 species
AGUGAGGAAUAUUGGUCAAUGGCCGGAAGGCUGAACCAGCCAUGCCGCGUGAAGGUCAGUGCCCUAUGGGCGUUAAACUUCUUUUGUGCGGGAGCAAUAAGGGCCACGCGUGGCCUGACGAGAGUACCGUACGAAUAAGCAUCGGCUAACUCCGUGCCAGCAGCCGCGGUAAUACGGGGGAUGCAAGCGUUAUCCGGAUUUAUUGGGUUUAAAGGGUGCGUAGGCUGUGAGGUAAGUCAGCGGUGAAAUGCCCCCGCUCAACGGGGUGAAGUGCCAUUGAUACUGCCUUGCUGGAAUGCGGAUGCCGUGGGAGGAAUGUGUGGUGUAGCGGUGAAAUGCAUAGAUAUCACACAGAACACCGAUUGCGAAGGCAUCUCACGAAUCCGCGAUUGACGCUGAUGCACGAAAGCGUGGGUAUCAAACAGGAUUAGAUACCCUGGUAGUCCACGCUGU